rnacentral:lncRNA from 1 species
GAUCCACAUUUGCAAAUGUGCAGCCUGCAGUGUGAAAAACAGCACCAUCUGUUCUGGAAGGAGCUGGAACUUCCACAAGGCUGUGAUGAGACCACAUGUGCUGGGAGCUGGGAGGACAGGAAGCAGGUGUGGUACCUGCAUUAUCUCAUUCAUCAGACCCUGACACUUUCCAGAGAAGAGUCUGUUCAUUUUCCCAUCUUCCAGAUGAGAAAGCAAAUGUCCAACAUGAGUGCCCCUGGUGAAGCUGUUCCUGAAGGCAGUUCUCCUCCAAGUAGCGAGCUCAGCGACUGGAAAUCCUUCCAUCCACUAUCUAAG